CAUGUCAAUUAACAAAUUAGAGCAAAAUAUUUACACGUGAAAAACAUGUUCAAAGGAGAAACUCAUAUUAAAAAGCAAACACAUUCCUUCCUCUCUCUUCAACCUCAGUCAUCCCUCUAUCGUGCCGGAGGCCACCUUCGGCGGCAGAGGUGCCACAAAACAUCAAGUUAAAGCAUCAUCCAAUCUGAAAUUACAUUCUGAAACUGAAUACCAUUGUGAGAUCUCCUAAAUCAGACUGAAAACUUCAAAUCAGAGCAAUAGGUAGGAAGAACCCUAAGUCAAAAUUCUAAAAUUAAAUCACAUAUGCUGGGAAUCAAAGCCCCCGAGGUUAGGGCUUUGAUUCCCCUAACCUCAAGCUACAAUGUUGUAACGAGAAUUGAAGGAAUCGAUGCAAGCAGUAGAGAACUCACUGGUGGAGCAAGCGCAGUUGUCACCGGAAUUUCAGGUGGAUUUCAAUUGGUUGAUUGAUCAUGGAGCUUAUGGAAUAUGCAGGCUAUCAUGUGGAAUGAUAGCUUCGGCAUGAAGUGUGGUUAGAACAAUUUCUAUCACAUCGUUUUCAUAAUGGAGGUAGCUUGAGUCCAGUAGAGCUAUUUUGCAAAAGACAGAUUGGUUCUUCCUUCCAUUAAGAGAAAGUAUGAGCCUGACAACCCCAAAGUUAAGGCUGUAUAUCCUUCAGUCUUCCAGUGAAUUAUAAGAUACUAGGGAAUUUCCAGAUCUACGUACUACUCUUGGUUCAUGGCUCUUAAACUACAUUAGUCUAGUCUAGACGAUUGGGCAUAUUCUUUCUUAUGAGGGCAGUUUGUAGAUAUAAGAUUUCAGAUGGAUCUGGUAACACUUCUUUCUCUUUUGAAGAUGUUGUACGGACUUAAUAGAGGAGGCAUUGUUUCGGAAAUUUGAGCAUCUUCUGGAACAUGAGAAUACUCAAUAAGGUUUUCUAUUUUAAGAGAAUUUGUCUUUUUUACA